rnacentral:lncRNA from 1 species
UGAUUAUCUUGAAAUGAAACCACCAUUCGCAAUCCAAUUUGUCAAACAAUUUCUACACGGAUGAACAAUUCGUUUCUAAACCCUAGGUAUCCCUUUCGUCUUCCUUCAGACCGGUUCAAGCAUCUGCAAUCAAAAUUAUUCAAGGAUCCUUUCCAACGCUCCCGUCAUCUUUCACAAUGAAAUCAAAUCUUUGAUCAAGUCUCCAAUUCCAGUGUUUCUCAUCCAGGGUUUUUGCGUUGAAGUUUCUCCACCUCCCAUGUGUUUCCAGUUAUCUAUCUAUCUAUCUAUCUAUCCAUCUACCUCUAC